GAAUUAUUUUCACUUUCAUGAGUCUAACUACCUCCACUUUUACCCAGCUUGUUUCUUAUUUACUCUUACUGAAGUGAUUUGGAUGUUUAAGACAAUUCUCAGUUUUAUGAGGAAUAUUGCCAAUGUGACCUAAACAGUUUGAAGAUUGUUUAAAUCAGGGGUUGCCGACCCCUGGUUUAAAUUGAAAGACUUUUUUUUUUUUUAAAUGUGAACUCAUGUUUUGUGCAGCUACAUUUUGUGCAGUUACUACUGCCUUUUACUGGGCAUGUUCAUUAGAUUACGGGGGAAAUUACUUACUUAAAGGGAAAAUCAGUAAUUCUAAAAGAUUUUUAGAGUAGGUUUAUUAUUAAGUAUUAAAGUGAAAGGAGGGAUCAGGGACCUAGGAUGUGAAUUUGCACCCUGUGAUGGUUAUGCAGUAUUUUUCCAAGAAAACUAGAUUAAUAGGCAUGUCUGAUGUACCACAAUACCAUGUACUUAAUGAGAAAUUCAUCUUUAAUAUUUAGAAUGAAACUUUGUCAUUUUUUCUGGCUGGAGUUUAGAAAGGAUUUGGUCCAGUUGAUGUUUUUUUCCCCAACCUGUUGGAACAUUGGGGAGGAUGAGCUCAGGAAGGAUAGUGCACAGGGAAGAAAUUUGAGUCACUGGUGCUUGGCCUCUUUAGACUAGUUGUGUUCUUUUGAAACAUGUAAGACAUGAUUUUCAAAAGUGCUCCUACAUGCUUAAAUAGGACAGGAAUAGCUGAAUAGUUGCUUUUGAAAAUCACACCCACAUUGUCCUAAUGCACCUGGCAGUGGCAAAUUCUGCUCAUGUUAGGUUAAUGGUUCAAAGCAAUUUCUGUGGUUACAUACCAUCUACAGAGGAGGGAUGAAGUGAUGUUGAUCUGGGAACCAAAUAUUCAAUGGCAGACUGCAACUAUUGUGAAUUUGAAAGAGGCUGGACACACAUCCACGAGGUGAGAGUUGAACAAUAUAUUUUUAGAGCAAGUUUGACUGUGGGAAUGUAGUGUGAAUUUAUUUUGUAGCUGUGGUCUGAAUCUCCACCAAGUCUUGUGAAUUUUAACCUAUCUAUAACACUGUUUUGUUAGGCUCUGCUUUAUUAUAUUAACAACUUCAUGAUAUUUUGUAUAGUCACUUGUUACCAAUGUUGCUGAAGUUCUACACUGCCAUCUAAACAAGGAUCAGGGCUCAUAUCCCUAAGUACAGAAUCAAACAAUGAAACUUACCAAAGAGCAGAAGGCUCAUCCAAGUCUUUACACAUCACUUAAGUUCCUAACUUGUAUAAGUGAUGAAUGGGUCUUUGCACUAAGGUGAAUGUCACACAGAGAAAUCAGAAAGGGAAAAAGGCUUGAAGUAAUCAUGUCCAUCACAUGGCUGGUGCAGGAUUACAGUUCAAAUUUCCAUUGUGGCUGGGGAGUAUCAUUCUUUAGUGACUAGUUACUUUUAAAUGUUUAUUAAAUUGGUACUCUGGUGUCAGCGGUACCUGGUGAACAGUAUUUGCAAACAUAAGCCAUGUUUGUCUGCUUAGUGAUAGCUAGUAGGAAUAAAGUUUUUUCAAUCACUACUCAUGGACUAAUUGCGUUUCUGCUCAUUGUUUGGACUUACAUUUUCAUUUUAUAGAAAAAAGUUUCCCUUCUAUUUGUA